GGCGCGGUGGCGGAGAGGCUACGCAGCGGCCUGCAAAGCCGUGAACACCGGUUCGAAUCCGGUCCGCGCCUCCA
rnacentral:tRNA from 2 species